GCCGCUCCACCCGGCGGUGCCUGGGAGUAGGGAGGGUAUCGAGGUUGGCAUCCCCAAGAGAUCCGCAUGAAUGGGAAGGAGCAGAUCUCUUAAGGGAAGGGAGGUGCUGGUACCAGAAAAAGGUAUGUGGAACAGGCAGGUCCAGGAGAUGGGAAAAGUCGUGGCAACCGCAGCCCUGGCUCCUGCUGAAACACCACCUGGGGGACCCCAGGAGGGUUUCCACAUCACUGAAAAUGGAUCAAUCAUGCUGAUGAUAAAGCGAGAUUAAAGCCAACUCACCACAGCCAUCACGUGGGACAGGCUGACUCCAAGUAAAAGCAUCAGACUGUCUAACAGCAGCUGCCAUCAGUUAAGACUUGCUGAGUGGGACCAGGAGAGCCUCCCAUUAGAGCCUGUACUACACCUAUAGUGAAGAAAAUCAUGAAGAUAUUCCUGCUUUGAGGAAACCCAUCUGCAAACAUCUUUGGCUUCAUCCCUUUCCACACUCUGUCAAGGUCUCAUCAGCAACUCUUGUGUCCAACACAGUGUCUGCUUGAUCUUGAAGGAUGUGCUCAGGCUGUCCCCGUGCUGGCCCAGACCCCCCCGCCCCCCACCAACCAGGCUUCCUCCUCUCGAUUUUUAGGACAUACAGAGAAGCCACCUUCUCUAAGAGGUGCUUCUUCAUGAUUCUGAACUGUGAUGCUCCCCCAGAGACUCUGGUACUGUAGACAUAUCCUUGUUCCCCUCCCAAUAUCCAUAUGCUCUCUGUGGGCUUCUCUCACCCACCUGGCUUCUGCCCUGGACCGUAACACUCUCCAUGCAGAGCAACUUCUGGGAUCUACGCUGCUGAGCCCCUAGCUCUUCCUAAUACUGUCUGGGCUGUUUCAUGAGCAUUUAAUAUAUAUUUGUUGUUCCUGCCAACCCAGGCACAUAAAGGUAUGCACCUCGCAUAGAGAUUUGAAACCUCAAACAAUCUCACAAUAAAGCUUCUAACCUGGCCUACCUCAGGUGGCACGU